rnacentral:misc_RNA from 1 species
AGCAGCCGCGGUAAUUCCAGCUCCAAUAGCGUAUAUUAAAGUUGUUGCAGUUAAAAGCUCGUAGUUGAAUUUCGGGAUCAGUUCGUUGGUCGUGCCUUUGGUAUGUACUGGUGUUACUGGUUCCUCCCUUCUGACGAACCGUCAUGUCAUUAAUUUGGUGUGGCGGGAAAUCAGGACUGUUACUUUGAAAAAUUGAGUGUUUAAAGCAGGCUCGCGCUUGAAUACAUUAGCAUGGAAUAAUGAAAUAGGACGUUCGAUCCUAUUUUGUUGGUCUUCUAGGAUUGACGUAAUGAUUAAUAGGGAUAGUUGGGGGCAUUAGUAUUCAAUU